AGGAUGAACGCUGGCGGCGUGCCUAAUACAUGCAAGUCGAGCGAAUGGAUUAAGAGCUUGCUCUUAUGAAGUUAGCGGCGGACGGGUGAGUAACACGUGGGUAACCUGCCCAUAAGACUGGGAUAACUCCGGGAAACCGGGGCUAAUACCGGAUAAUAUUUUGAACCGCAUGGUUCGAAAUUGAAAGGCGGCUUCGGCUGUCACUUAUGGAUGGACCCGCGUCGCAUUAGCUAGUUGGUGAGGUAACGGCUCACCAAGGCAACGAUGCGUAGCCGACCUGAGAGGGUGAUCGGCCACACUGGGACUGAGACACGGCCCAGACUCCUACGGGAGGCAGCAGUAGGGAAUCUUCCGCAAUGGACGAAAGUCUGACGGAGCAACGCCGCGUGAGUGAUGAAGGCUUUCGGGUCGUAAAACUCUGUUGUUAGGGAAGAACAAGUGCUAGUUGAAUAAGCUGGCACCUUGACGGUACCUAACCAGAAAGCCACGGCUAACUACGUGCCAGCAGCCGCGGUAAUACGUAGGUGGCAAGCGUUAUCCG
rnacentral:rRNA from 1 species